rnacentral:rRNA from 1 species
UACGAGGGGGGCGAGCGUUGUUCGGAAUUAUUGGGCGUAAAGGGUGCGUAGGCGGCAUGAUAAGUUAUUGGCGGUAAAUCGAGGCUCAACCUCGUGGAAACUGAUAAUACUGUUUUGCUUGAGUACAGGAGAGGUUAACGGAACUCCAUGUGGAGCGGUAAAAUGUGUAGAUAUAUGGAAGAACAUCAAUAACGGCGAAGGCAGUUAACUAUUCUGUUACUGACGUUGAGGCACGAAAGCGUGGGGAGCAAAAAGG